GCGGUGAAAUUAAGUGCUGAUCCUGUUUGGAUUGCUGUAAUGACAGUGGCUGGCUGCUAGCAGGCUGGGGACCGACUGUGGAUGUGUCCCUGGGGCUGUUAGCAGCUCUCAUCCUGACGGAAACCUCGCAGCGGC